rnacentral:lncRNA from 1 species
ACAGUAGAUCUGAAAAAUGUUCAAGGCGCCUUCCAGCAAAACAUACAAUUCUUAUUCGUCAAAUUAAUGUCUGAUUAAGUGCAGCAGAAUUCGCUAAAAUUACUAAAACAAAACUUGAAACAAAAAGUUGUCUCAUGAAAACAACAGACACUUCAGAGGAAAGAUAAGGAGAAAGGAUGCCAGCUAGAAAGUGAUAAGCUGCCCCAGAUGGAAAUAUAUUGUAAAACAACAUAAUCUGUAUAUAAAAGUAUGAAAGAAAAUUAAAUUGAUAAAUAAAAGGAAAAUAUAUUAGAAUUAAAGGAAACAAAAUUAAGAAAACGAUAAAAGUGUGAUAACUCAAAGAAUAAACAUCCAUCAAGAAAUUAUGUCGGCCAUAACACAUUCUCCGAUGUAUCCUUCAGACAUGUUUAGUGAAGAUAAUUCAACACAGAUCCUUUUCUAUGAUAAUGCCACCAACAUAACAGAAGACGAAUUACCUCUUGAUACAAAUAAUUUAUUAGUGGCUUAUCACUACUGGUACGCAGGCAUUCAUGGUUAUGUAGCUUCCAUCGUCUGCAUAUUUGGAGUCAUCACGAAUAUUCUCAACAUUAUUGUACUGACAAGAAAAAAUAUGAUUUCUCCGUCAAAUAUAAUCCUGACUGGACUGGCCAUUAGCGAUGGGCUUACAAUGGCUCUCUA